rnacentral:lncRNA from 1 species
AUGGCGUUAGUCUGGCCGUGUUCUCCUGCCGACCCAGGAUGGCUCCUGGCACCGAUGGGAAGGGUGUCAUGGCUGGUUGUGGCCCACAGCCACCAGGGAUGGUCACGGAACAGCAGGGAUGCUCAGCAGACACCAGGGAUGCUGGUGGAACUUCCACACCAGGGAUGCUCAGCAGACACCAGAGAUGCUCGUGGAACUUCCACACUAGGGAUGCUCAUGGGACACCAGGGAUGCUCUUGGAACUUCUGCACCAGGGAUGCUCAGCAGACACCAGGGAUGCUCGUGGGACACUGGGGAUGCUGGUGGAACUUCCACACCAGGGAUGCUCAGCAGACACCAGGGAUGCUCGUGGGACACUGGGGAUGCUGGUGGAACUUCCACACCAGGGAUGCUCAGCAGACACCAGGGAUGCUCAUGGAUCUUCCACACCAAGGAUGCUCGUGGGACACCAGGGGAUGCUGGUGGAACUUCCACACCAGGGAUGCACAGCAGGGGUGUUUAUGCCAAGUUUUGGGGCGAAAUUAAACUUUUUUUUUUCCUAAAUGGUCUAAACAAUCCAUGAAAAAUGUAUCUUUUACGUAACUUUACAUUAAAUGACCUUUAAAUUCAACACCAGCACUACAGUACUGCCAUAAAGUACUUGCAAAGUUUUGCAGGAGGAUUUUGGCGGAGUUUGGGCUGACCUCCCCGCCUGCUCUUGGGACAGCCGCUGCGUCAAGAAGCCCUUUGGCUUUUCCAUCUGGCAGCAAGAAUGGAUUCCAGCAUAUUCCUCCGGGAUGCUGGGAUGCAGCAGGAGGUGGUGGCCGGGGAGAUGCCACCAG